GUGAAAUUGUUGAAAGGGAAGCGCUUGCAACCAGACCUGCCUGCAGUUGCUCAUCCGGGCUUUUGCCCGGUGCACUCUUCUGCUGUCAGGCCAGCAUCAGUUCGGGCGGUCGGAUAAAGGCUUCGGGAAUGUAGCUCCUCUCGAGGAGUGUUAUAGCCCGUUGCGAAAUGCGGCCAGCCUGAACUGAGGUCCGCGCUUCGGCUAGGAUGCUGGCGUAAUGGUUGUAAGCGGCCCGUCUUGAAACACGGACCAAGGAGUCUAACAUCUGUGCGAGUGUUUGGGUGUCAAACCCGUACGCGUAAUGAAAGUGAACGGAGGCGGGAACCCCUCGGGGUGCACCGUCGACCGAUCCUGAUGUCUUCGGAUGGAUUUGAGUAAGAGCAUAGCUGUUGGGACCCGAAAGAUGGUGAACUAUGCCUGAAUAGGGUGAAGCCAGAGGAAACUCUGGUGGAGGCUCGCAGCGGUUCUGACGUGCAAAUCGAUCGUCAAAUUUGGGCAUAGGGGCGAAAGACUAAUCGAACUAUCUAGUAGCUGGUUCCUGCCGAAGUUUCCCUCACGAUAGCAGUAACGUUUUCAGUUUUAUGAGGUAAAGCG
rnacentral:rRNA from 1 species